rfam:Macrostomum lignano uti_cns_0048435, whole genome shotgun sequence.
AUACUUACCUGGCGCGGGGGAUACCGUGAUCAAGAAGGCGGUGCCUCCAGGACGAGGCCUGUACAUUGCACUCCGUAUGGGCUGACUCCUGCGACUACCCAAAAUCGGGGUGGCUCGAGCGCAUAAUUUUUGGUAGUGGGGACAAGCGUUCGCGCUGUCCCUU